rnacentral:tRNA from 1 species
GCCGGGGUGGCGGAAUUGGUAGACGCAGCGGAUUCAAAAUCCGCCGGUGAAUAACCUUGAGAGUUCGAGUCUCUCCCUCGGUACCA